rnacentral:rRNA from 1 species
AGAGUUUGAUCUUGGCUCAGAAUGAACGCUAGCGGCGUGCCUAACACAUGCAAGUCGAGCGAGAAAGGGACUUCGGUCCUGAGUAAAGCGGCGAACGGGUGAGUAAUGCGUAGGUAACCUGCCUCGAGGAAGGGGAUAACCCUUUGAAAAAAGGGCUAAUACCCUAUGUGGUUAAUAAGGGUGGGCCUUAUUAAUCAAAGAUGGCUCUGAAAAAUGAGCUAUCGCCUCGAGAUGGGCCUGCGUCCUAUCAGCUUGUUGGUGGGGUAAUGGCCCACCAAGGCUAUGACGGGUAGCUGGUUUGAGAGGACGGUCAGCCACACUGGCACUGAGACACGGGCCAGACUCCUACGGGAGGCAGCAGUGGGGAAUCUUCCGCAAUGGACGAAAGUCUGACGGAGCAACGCCGCGUGAGUGAUGACGGCCUUCGGGUUGUAAAGCUCUGUUAAUCGGGACGAAAGGCCUUCUUGCGAAUAGUUAGAAGGAUUGACGGUACCGGAAUAGAAAGCCACGGCUAACUACGUGCCAGCAGCCGCGGUAAUACGUAGGUGGCAAGCGUUGUCCGGAAUUAUUGGGCGUAAAGCGCGCGCAGGCGGAUCAGUCAGUCUGUCUUAAAAGUUCGGGGCUUAACCCCGUGAUGGGAUGGAAACUGCUGAUCUAGAGUAUCGGAGAGGAAAGUGGAAUUCCUAGUGUAGCGGUGAAAUGCGUAGAUAUUAGGAAGAACACCAGUGGCGAAGGCGACUUUCUGGACGAAAACUGACGCUGAGGCGCGAAAGCCAGGGGAGCGAACGGGAUUAGAUACCCCGGUAGUCCUGGCCGUAAACGAUGGGUACUAGGUGUAGGAGGUAUCGACCCCUUCUGUGCCGGAGUUAACGCAAUAAGUACCCCGCCUGGGGAGUACGACCGCAAGGUUGAAACUCAAAGGAAUUGACGGGGGCCCGCACAAGCGGUGGAGUAUGUGGUUUAAUUCGACGCAACGCGAAGAACCUUACCAGGUCUUGACAUUGAUGGACAGAACCAGAGAUGGUUCCUCUUCUUCGGAAGCCAGAAAACAGGUGGUGCACGGUUGUCGUCAGCUCGUGUCGUGAGAUGUUGGGUUAAGUCCCGCAACGAGCGCAACCCCUAUCUUAUGUUGCCAGCGCGUAAUGGUGGGAACUCAUGAGAGACUGCCGCAGACAAUGCGGAGGAAGGCGGGGAUGACGUCAAAUCAUCACGCCCCUUAUGACCUGGGCUACACACGUACUACAAUGGGAGUUAAUAGACGGAAGCGAAAUCGCGAGAUGGAGCAAACCCGAGAAACACUCUCUCAGUUCGGAUCGUAGGCUGCAACUCGCCUACGUGAAGUCGGAAUCGCUAGUAAUCGCAGGUCAGCAUACUGCGGUGAAUACGUUCCCGGGCCUUGUACACACCGCCCGUCACACCACGAAAGUCGGAAGUGCCCAAAGCCGGUGGGGUAACCUUCGGGAGCCAGCCGUCUAAGGUAAAGUCGAUGAUUGGGGUGAAGUCGUAACAAGGUAACCA